AACGAACGCUGGCGGCGGGCCUCAUACAUGCAAGUCGAGCGCGAAAGUCCGCAAGGAUGAGUAAAGCGGCGCACGGGUGAGUAACACGUGGGUAAUCUACCUUUUUGGAUUGGAAUAACCUGUCGAAAGACGGGCUAAUGCCAAGUAAGUUCUUUGGAACGUGGAGUUUUGAAGAAGAAAGAUGGCGCAAGCUAUCGCCGAAAGAUGAGCCUGCGUCCCAUUAGUUAGUUGGUGGGGUAAUGGCUUACCAAGACAAUGAUGGGUACCUGGU
rnacentral:rRNA from 1 species